GAUGAACGCUGGCGGCGUGCCUAAUACAUGCAAGUCGAGCGAACAGACGAGGAGCUUGCUCCUCUGACGUUAGCGGCGGACGGGUGAGAACACGUGGAUAACCUACCUAUAAGACUGGGAUAACUUCGGGAAACCGGAGCUAAUACCGGAUAAUAUAUUGAACCGCAUGGUUCAAUAGUAAAAGACGGUUUUGCUGUCACUUAUAGAUGGAUCCGCGCCGCAUUAGCUAGUUGGUAAGGUAACGGCUUACCAAGGCAACGAUGCGUAGCCGACCUGAGAGGGUGAUCGGCCACACUGGAACUGAGACACGGUCCAGACUCCUACGGGAGGCAGCAGUAGGGAAUCUUCCGCAAUGGGCGAAAGCCUGACGGAGCAACGCCGCGUGAGUGAUGAAGGUCUUCGGAUCGUAAAACUCUGUUAUUAGGGAAGAACAAAUGUGUAAGUAACUAUGCACGUCUUGACGGUACCUAAUCAGAAAGCCACGGCUAACUACGUG
rnacentral:rRNA from 1 species